GUCGCUCAAACGGGGUGCAGUCACCUGCUGAGAUUAUACCCGUCGACCUGAUCCAGAUAAUGCUGGCGGAGGAAUUUGAGGCACGGCGCUC
rfam:Aeromonas diversa 2478-85 Contig 14, whole genome shotgun sequence.